GCUGGGGUGGCGGAAUUGGCAGACGCACAGGACUUAAAAUCCUGCGGUAGGUGACUACUGUGUCGGUUCGAGCCCGACCCUCAGCACCA
rnacentral:tRNA from 1 species